rnacentral:rRNA from 1 species
AUUGAACGCUGGCGGCAUGCUUUACGCAUGCAAGUCGAACGGUAACAGGCCUUCGGGUGCUGACGAGUGGCGAACGGGUGAGUAAUGCAUCGGAACGUACCCAGAGGUGGGGGAUAACGCAGCGAAAGCUGUGCUAGUACCGCAUGUGAUCUGAGGAUGAAAGCGGGGGACCGAGCAGCAAUGUUUGGCCUCGCGCCUUUGGAGCGGCCGAUGUCGGAUUAGCUAGUUGGUGGGGUAAAGGCCUACCAAGGCGACGAUCCGUAGCUGGUCUGAGAGGACGACCAGCCACACUGGGACUGAGACACGGCCCAGACUCCUACGGGAGGCAGCAGUGGGGAAUUUUGGACAAUGGGCGCAAGCCUGAUCCAGCAAUGCCGCGUGCGGGAAGAAGGCCUUCGGGUUGUAAACCGCUUUUGGCAGGAACGAAACGGUGUCCGCUAAUACCGGGCGCUAAUGACGGUACCUGCAGAAUAAGCACCGGCUAACUACGUG